rnacentral:misc_RNA from 1 species
AAGUCGUAACAAGGUUUCCGUAGGUGAACCUGCGGAAGGAUCAUUCACAAUUAUAUAACAACUGUUCUGCGGUUGUUUAAUAUUCAUCAUUUAAUCAUACACCAAACCGAGCUAUGUACAAACCUUUAAACCGAAAUAACCAAUGCCAUUUAUGGCGAAGUUACCUUUUCUGUCGUUGAUCCUUUAGUUUAAAAGCACUAGGGGGGAUCUGGCUGUCAAUGUUUAAUUAAGACCGGACCAUGGUGGAUUCCAUGGAGGCAUGUGUAGAAAUACGUAAUAUAAUACAACUCUUUGCAAUGGAUAUCUUGGUUCUC